GGAGUCGGCCGGGUAGUCGCGGGCGGCGGCCGCAAGGCCUGAUCCGCCGGAGGAAAGUCCGGGCUCCACAGGGCAGAGUGCCAGGUAACGCCUGGGCGGCGCGAGCCGACGGAAAGUGCCACAGAAAAUAUACCGCCCGGAUUUUCCGGGUAAGGGUGAAAUGGUGCGGUAAGAGCGCACCGCGUUCGUGGCAACACGAAUGGCAGGGUAAACCCCACUCGGAGCAAGACCAAAUAGGGAUCCAUCGGUGUGGCCCGCACUGGAUCCGGGUAGGUUGCUAGAGCCGCGCGGCGACGCGCGGCCAAGAUGAAUGACUGCCGGUCGGGCGGUUUCGACCGUUCGAUCACAGAACCCGGCUUACAGGCCGGCUCCCGAU
rnacentral:RNase_P_RNA from 1 species